CCUACGGGGGGCUGCAGUGGGGAAUAUUGGACAAUGGGCGCAAGCCUGAUCCAGCCAUGCCGCGUGAGUGAUGAAGGCCCUAGGGUUGUAAAGCUCUUUCAACGGUGAAGAUAAUGACGGUAACCGUAGAAGAAGCCCCGGCUAACUUCGUGCCAGCAGCCGCGGUAAUACGAAGGGGGCUAGCGUUGUUCGGAAUUACUGGGCGUAAAGCGCACGUAGGCGGAUAUUUAAGUCAGGGGUGAAAUCCCGGGGCUCAACCUCGGAACUGCCUUUGAUACUGGGUAUCUUGAGUAUGGAAGAGGUAAGUGGAAUUGCGAGUGUAGAGGUGAAAUUCGUAGAUAUUCGCAGGAACACCAGUGGCGAAGGCGGCUUACUGGUCCAUUACUGACGCUGAGGUGCGAAAGCGUGGGGAGCAAACAGGAUUAGAUACC
rnacentral:rRNA from 1 species